CCCUCCUUGCAAUUUAUUUUAGUGAAGUGAUCAUGAUAUUAAUGACCCAGGAAACUUCGUUUCUCUGCUCUCAACAUAGUAAGAACUUUAAGACUAUUCUUUUACAGGUACAGGUUUGCAGAUUCCACCAGCAGCACAGCAAGCUCUACAGAUGAGUGGCUCUUUGGCAUUUGGUGCUGUGGCAGAAUUCUCUUUUGUUAUAGAUUUGCAAACAAGACUUUCCCAGCAGACUGAAGCUUCAGCUUUAGCUGCAGCUGCCUCUGUUCAGCCACUUGCAACACAGUGUUUCCAACUCUCUAACAUGUUUAACCCUCAAACAGAAGAAGAAGUUGGAUGGGAUACCGAGAUUAAGGAUGAUGUGAUUGAAGAAUGUAAUAAACAUGGAGGAGUUAUUCAUAUUUAUGUUGACAAAAAUUCAGCUCAGGGCAAUGUGUAUGUGAAGUGCCCAUCAAUUGCUGCAGCUAUUGCUGCUGUCAAUGCAUUGCAUGGCAGGUGGUUUGCUGGUAAAAUGAUAACAGCAGCAUAUGUACCUCUUCCAACUUACCACAACCUGUUUCCUGAUUCUAUGACAGCAACACAACUACUGGUUCCAAGUAGACGAUGAAGGAAGAUACAGUCCCUUAUGUAUAUAGCUUUUUUCUUUCUUGAGAAUUCAUCUUGAGUUAUCUUUUAUUUAGAUAAAAAUAAAGAGGCAAGGAUCUACUGUCAUUUGUAUACAAUUUCCUGUUACCUUGAAAAAAUAAAAAUGUUAACAGGAA
rnacentral:sRNA from 1 species